UGGAAUAUGUAUUGAAUGAAAAUGCUAUACAGGUUUUAAACUAUGUAUAAAAAUAUAUAUUUUUAUCUACUAAUAUGUUGGGUAGAACAUGGGUAGAUAGUUGGUGUGUAAUAAACAGAUGAGAGGCCUCGAUGUUGUUGUUGUUGAUCUAGUUAUUCAGCGGAGUAUGGAUAACGACCACAGACUCUUUCUAGACAGUCAUGUGGAACACUAGCAGGUUCAUAACCUGUAGGUGUUGUGAACGAUGUGUUUACCGGUGUACUCUAUCCCCCCCAUGGUUGCCUUUAGAAUAUCUAUUAUUGAGGAAACCCCUUAGCAGUAAUGUCCGUCCCGAUGAAAAUCCUAGAUUAGGUCCCUUGAGAUAGAUGUUGUUUUAGGGACGUAAAGUGAGGAUAACGGGAAUGGGUAAUCGGGAUAGUGAUUGGUUGGUGAAAUUAAAUAUAACUUAUUUAUUGUGGGUUGAAAACCCUAUAUGCUCACCAGGCUCCCAAGCCUGACCCACUCAGUUUUAUUUGUAUUACAGGAAGUGGCACAAGGGCGUAAGAUGGAUGGAUCAUCUUGUUGUUUUGUUUACAAGUCUGUAUAUGUAUAUAUUUGUUGAAUGACUUGUAAUGUUUAUCGUUUAUGCUUUAUGGUCUGUAUCGGAACAUGACAUCCCGAGUUUUGAUUAUAUAAUGAAAUGCAUCUCUUGAUGAAAUGCUUUGAUAAAUAUUAUUUUAUCAUGUUUUGUUUUGGGAACAAAUUCCGCAACUCUUUCAAAUCAAAAGGAUUUACUCUGAAAAUAUUUAAAAGCAUAAAUGAAAAUCGGUCUUUUCUGGCCGAGAUUUUGGGGAUGUCACAGUUGGUAUCAGAGCAUUAGUUUAAGCGAACUAGGAAUUUGUAGGAUUUCUAGACUUAAACUUAGAAUGCUAAGUGGAAUUUUGAGAUGUGUGUCUGUUGGAUUUUAGACACGAGCACUAGUUUAUUUUAGGAAAGUUGCCUAAAAUGCUUUUAUGUGCUAAAUGUUAUAUGUUGCCAUAUAUGAUAUUAUUUGUUCGGAUCUACGGUCUGUUGCCGACCGGAUCUGGAAACCUUAUGUGUGUAGGAUUCUAAGCGUAUGUCUACGUUAUUAGAACUAGCAUGUAAACGUUUCGGAGUGAUAAGGAUGAUUUGAAUAUCUAUCGUGAAUGAGGAUCUAAUUUCACCUUAUUCGGUGUGUAGAUCAAAAAUGGUGAGAACAAGGAGUGGCGUUGGAAACGCGGAUGAAAACAGGAAUCAACCGCCAGUGAUUGAGCAAAUACCUGUUGUAGCAGCAGCACCAGAACCAAUAACAAUGGCUGCGGUGCAAGCCAUGAUUCGGGCUAUGCUAGCCGAACAAAGGGAGGAGAUGCGACAAAUGUUGCAUAAUAAUAGGGAUGAACCUAUCAUACCUAUUGAGGAACCGGAAUUGAUUCCCGAGCAAUCGGAGGAAGGGAACAAUAGUCGCAUGGUGAGUCAAGUUGGGACUCAAGAGGAACGAAGGAACGAUCCAGAAAGGAGAAACAACAAGGAUGGGCGUAUGUACAAGAAUUUCUUGGGCGCCAAACCGCCAAGUCUUUCUGGGAGCCCAAAGCCUGUUGAGAUAAUGGAUUGGAUCUUCGAAAUGGAGAUGGUAUUCGAAAGUUGCGACUGUAGCAACAAACAAAAGACUGUCUUUCCAGUUAGACAACUGAAGACUGGAGUCUUGAGUUGGUGGAAGUUGUUGGCAGAUACUAUGCCACGAGGAGAAGCCCUGAAAAUGUCAUGGGAGGAGUUCUUGGAACAACUAAGGGUGCAGUAUUGUUCAGAGAUAGAUCUGAUUGAUCUGAACAAUGAGUUCCAAAACUUGAAGAAAGGGAAGAUGAGCAUAGAUGACUAUGCUACUGCAUUUACUGAGAAGAUGAAGUUGUUUCCGUACCUAGUGCCGACGGAACUCUCCAAGAUUGAGAGGUUUGCUAACGGACUGCCUGCUGACUUUGGUCCGACAGUCAAAAUGGCAACCACUCUGAAAACGGCUGUUCGUGCAGCUAAGAAUGUGGAGGCCCAGCAGAAGGAAAAGGGUCUGGAAAGAAUAGAUGUUGGAGAAAAGAGGAAGUUCGAUGGAACUUCAGGGUCCAACAAGAAAAACAAGUUCUCGAAGUCUGGUUCGAGGGGAGGUGGAGGUGAAGCGAAAUGGUGCGACAAAUGUAAGAAGAAGCAUCAUGGAAGAUGUGAGGUGGCGAACACAUGCUACAAGUGUGGAAAGCCAGGGCACUAUGCCAAUGAGUGUACCCUCACAAAGAAAGUUUGCUAUGGUUGUGGUGAGGAGGGUCAUAUGUCGAGGGACUGCCCGAAGAAGAAGGAGGCAGCUAGACCCAACAUUCCGCCAAAGCCAAAGGCGAGAGCAUUCCAGAUGACACUGGAAGCUGCUAAAGAUGAAGCUGAUGUCGCUUCAGGUACCUUUCUCGUUAACGAAUUGCCUGCCCAAAUUUUAUUUGAUUCUGGAGCCAACUACUCCUUUAUAUCGCAUGAAUUUGGUAGAAAGCUAGCUUUGCCUGUUGUUAGACUAGAUAAUGCUUUAUUAGUCGAAGUUGCUAGUGGCAAGUUUGUACCUGUUAGCUAUCGCAUGAAAAACAUCUUAAUUGAUCUGAAUGGGAAUAAGUUCCACGAGGAAUUAUUGCCUAUCGAACUUAAUGGUUUCGACAUCGUAUUGGGAAUGGAUUGGCUUAGCGCCAACGACGCCGAAAUUUUAUGCAAGAAGAAAAUAGUCAAAGUAAACCCGCCUGGGAAAGAUUCGUUUAUGGUGUAUGGAGAUAAACGCAGAGUGAAUUCUGGAAUCAUUUCAUUGAUGAAAGCCAGAAAAUGUUUGACCAAGGGGUGUACAUCGUAUUUAGCAUUCGUGAUUGAUGCUAAGAAGGAAAAGAAGGUGAUGCAGAAUAUUCCAGUGGUGUGUGAUUAUCCGGAAGUAUUUCCCGAAGAUCUUCCUGGAUUACCGCCUGAUCGACAAGUGGAAUUCCGUAUUGACUUGUUGCCAGGAACAACGCCAAUUGCAAAAGCACCUUAUCGAUUAGCACCGACGGAGAUGAAGGAGCUAAUGAUGCAACUUCAGGAGUUAUUGGACAAAGGUUUCAUUAGACCUAGUUCAUCGCCCUGGGGAGCUCCGGUGUUAUUUGUAAAGAAGAAAGAUGGAAGUAUGAGAAUGUGCAUCGAUUACAGAGAGCUGAACAAGGCAACAAUAAAGAAUAGAUAUCCGUUGCCGAGGAUUGAUGACCUGUUUGAUCAAUUGCAAGGUUCGAGCUAUUUCUCGAAGAUCGAUCUUAGGUCAGGAUAUCAUCAGCUAAAAGUAAGAGAGCAAGAUAUCGAGAAGACUGCAUUCAGAACUAGAUAUGGACACUACGAGUUCUUGGUUAUGUCGUUUGGACUAACCAAUGCUCCAGCAGCGUUCAUGGAUUUGAUGAAUAGGGUUUGUAACCCGUUCCUUGAUAAAUCCGUGAUAGUGUUCAUAGACGACAUUCUGAUUUACUCGAAAAGCCAGGAGGAGCAUGGCAGACACUUGCGAGAAGUGUUAGAAGUCUUGAAGAAGGAGAAGCUGUAUGCUAAGUUCUCCAAAUGUGAUUUUUGGAUUCGUGAAGUCCAAUUCUUGGGUCACGUGGUCAACCAAGAAGGGAUAAUGGUUGAUCCAGCGAAGAUCGAAGCUGUGACGAUUUGGGAGCAACCGAAGAGUCCCACGGAAAUCCGUAGCUUUUUGGGAUUAGUCGGAUAUUACCGAAGGUUUAUCCAAGGCUUUUCUUCGAUUGCUAGUCCAUUGACAGAUUUGACCCACAAAGGAGCUACUUAUGCUUGGAUUGAUAAGCAUUCAAGAGGCUAAAGAAGAAACUAUGUGAGGCACCAAUACUUUCUUUACCCGAUGGAGUUGAAGACUUCGUUGUUUAUAGCGAUGCGUCUAGGGUUGGAUUGGGUUGUGUUUUGACCCAAAGAGAUAAGGUGAUCGCAUAUGCAUCUCGACAGCUGAAAGAGCAUGAAAAGAACUACCCGACUCAUGAUUUGGAGUUGGCAGCGGUAGUUUUCGCUCUGAAAAUAUGGAGGCAUUACCUCUAUGGCACGAAGUGCAAACUUUUCACUGAUCAUAAGAGUCUCCAAUAUCUCUUUAAUCAGAAAGAAUUGAAUAUGAGGCAACGACGCUGGCUAGAAUUACUUAAAGACUACGACUGCGAGAUACUUUACCACCCCGGUAAAGCUAAUGUUGUUGCUGAUGCUCUCAGUCGGAAAGUCAAUCUUGAAAGGAAAAGGCCAAGAGCGUUGAGAAUUGAAGUUGUCUCGACCAUUGUGGAAAGUAUAAAGAAAGCUCAAGAGGAAGCUUCUGAGAAGAAUGACCGAAAGGAGGAACGUUUGGGAAAAACGUUUGGGCAAAACGUUGGUAUAAACAGUCAUGGACUGAAGGUGUUCCAAGAUCGGAUUUCUAAGACAGGAGGAGUCAGAGAUCUUCUGAUGGAAGAAGCUCACAAUCACAAGACCAUGUACUCGAUUCAUCCGGGUAGCACUAAAAUGUAUAGGGACCUGAAACCCUACUACUGGUGGCCGACGAUGAAGCUUGAUGUUGCAAAGUAUGUGGCCGAGUGUGUGACUUGUGCGAGAGUCAAGACACAACAUCAGAAACCUUACGGGAGUUUAGAACCAUUGCCUGUGCCUAUGGGUAAGUGGGAAGACAUUGCUAUGGAUUUUGUCACUAAACUGCCCAGAACAAAGAAUGGUCACGACAUGAUUUGGGUGGUCGUUGAUCGAUUCACUAAGAGUGCGCAUUUCAUAGCGGCCAGGGAGAAAUGGUCUAUGGAAAAGCUUGCGAAUUCUUACGUGAAGGAAAUUGUGAGGCUUCACGGUGUUCCGUUAACGAUUGUAUCGGAUCGUGAUAGCCGUUUCACCUCAAGGUUUUGGAAAAGUCUACAAGAGGAAAUGGGUACCAAGUUAUGUUUAAGCACAGCUUACCAUCCGCAGACUGAUGGUCAGAGUGAAAGAACAAUACAAACACUUGAAGAUAUGCUGAGAGCAUGUACCUUGGAAUUCCUAGGUAAUUGGGAUGAACAUUUACCGUUGGUAGAAUUUUCCUAUAAUAAUAGUUUUCACUCGAGCAUUAAGAUGGCACCUUAUCAAGCUUUGUAUGGACAGAAGUGUCGUACGCCGUCUUGUUGGCUUGAGGCUGGGGAAAAGCAGUUUAUGGGACCGGAGAUGGUUCAUCAAACUGCUGAAAAGUUGAAAAUAAUUAGGGAAAGAAUGUUAGCAGCUCAGGAUCGUCAAAAGAGUUAUGCUGACAAGAAGCGAAGACCGAUGACUUUUGAGGUUGGAGAUUCGGUUUUGCUUAAAGUCUCGCCGUGGAAGGGACUUAUAAGAUUUGGUAAAAGGGGAAAGUUGAGUCCAAGGUUUAUUGGACCGUUUAAAGUUCUUCAGAGGAUUGGGAACCAAGCUUACAAGCUCGAAUUACCCGAAGAACUGAAUGGAAUUCACAACACCUUUCAUGUGUGUUAUUUGAGGAAGUUCACGGGAGAAGUUCCCGAUAUAAUUCCAAUUUCUGAAUUGAGAAUUGAUGAGAACAAAAGGUUGAUUGAAGAACCAGAGGCAAUUGUUGACCGAAAGACUAAGAAGUUGCGACGCAAAAUGGUUGGGUUAGUGCUUGUCCGAUGGAAACACACGAAUGGGCCGAAUCUCACCUGGGAGACGGAGAGUGACAUGAUGAGUCGCUAUCCGCAUUUGUUUGUUGAUGUGUGAUUCCGGGGACGGAAUCAUUCUAAGGUGGAGAGAAUUGUAACGCCUGUGUUUCUGAGCUUGUCAUUAAUGUUGAUAUAAUAGUCUAGGUUAACCUUUGUAACCCGUUUUGAAAUAAUAAAAGUGUAUUAUUUGAGUAUUAUCUGUUUUGUGCUUAAUUGCUUAAUUAUGUGAUUUGAUUAAUUAAGAAUAAAAAUAAGCGUCAAAAUUUAAGUGUAAAAUAAACUCGAUAUCUUUACAUAAAGUUGUAGUGGUCGAAAUAAGGUUUCCGAAUAUAUAAAGAAUGUCAAAAUCCGAGUUAUAACGAAGAAGUUAUGACCUGUCGAAGUUUCGCGACAGAACCGGCAACGCUGAAUGACGUAAAAAGUGAAAUUUACGUUAGAGCGAUAUUUAGCCUUAGUGAUCUAAACGAAAGUCGUAGAGUUCGUUAAACCGAGAGCGUGCAUAAAGAGAACGCCCAAAUCUGACUUCGUAUGAGGAAGUUAUGAUUUUUCUAAGUUUCGACUUAGCAGUAUGCAGCCCGAAUACUCGAUUCGAGAUCGAGUGAUCGUUGGUUGAAACAAUCUAAACGAGAAUUGAAGAUCUCGUUAAUAGCAGUAAAGCGAUAAAAAGAUAGGCGAGAACGGACGUCGGAUAAAGAAGUUAUGAAUUUAUAACGAAGUUUUCUUGUCCCGGCCUACUAAAAAUAAAUAAUAAAAAUAAAGUCAAAAUUAGCCGACGGAGUCUAAAUGAAAGUUGUAGAGCACAGUCUCACCUAUGUGUGGAUAUAAAGAACGUCGAAAACGGAUUCGUAUGAAAAAGAUAUGAAUUUUCGAAGUUUAUUAAAUAAUUAAUAUAUAAAUUUAAUUAUUAAAUCCGACAUUAUCCGAAGGGGAGUCAUCGGAAGUACGCCCAACGUACUAGCGUACGCCCAGUGUACAGCGAAGCAUGACGAUCUUCACACUCGAGUUCUUUGGAUGAUGCAUGCCAUGACGAUUCAGAGGAGUACGCCCAGCGUACGUGCGAGGCUCAGCCUCUAUAAAAGGCAUGCGAGGGCAGCCGACUCCAAUUGCCAAAUUUUCUUCUCUUUCUCCCUUUUUGCAUCGUUUUGCGUGCCAGAAGUAUCCCGAAUCCCCGGUAAUAUUCUCGAGCCCCGAAGCAAGUAUUACGCUCUCGAAGAUCCCGAGAUGUGCGAUUCCCGAGCCGAAGCUCUGCCCGCGAGAAGUUCGAUUUUUGUGAAGAUCUUCUAGAUCUACCGAAGAAUACUACUUCUGCAAGUCGUAGUGUUGUCUGAUCAUCUUCUGAUCAAGUGAGUGUGUAGUUACUUUCUUCUAAUGCAUAAUUAUGAAGUAUUUUAUACGAAAUACGUGUUAUGUGUAUAAUUUUGUUGUUAUGUGUGUGAAUGUAUAUUCACUCUCUUCUAUCUCAUAGAUCUGAUUUAUUUUCUAUGAAAUACGUGUUAUGUGGGUGUGCCUCAUCUGUUAUGUGGAAUAUGUAUUGAAUGAGAAUGCUAUACAGGUUUUAAACUAUGUAUAAAAAUAUAUAUUUUUAUCUACUAAUAUGUUGGGUAGAACAUGGGUAGAUAGUUGGUGUGUAAUAAACAGAUGAGAGGCCUCGAUGUUGUUGUUGUUUUUGAUCUAGUUAUUCAGCGGAGUAUGGAUAACGACCACAGACUCUUUCUAGACAGUCCUGUGGAACGCUAGCAGGUUCAUAACCUGUAGGUGUUGUGAACGAUGUGUUCACCGGUGUACUCUAUCCCCCUCAUG
rnacentral:lncRNA from 1 species